rnacentral:rRNA from 1 species
AUUGAACGCUAGCGGCAUGCCUAACACAUGCAAGUCGAACGAGUGGCGGACGGGUGAGUAAUGUCUGGGAACCUGCCCGAUGGAGGGGGAUAACUACUCGAAACAGUAGCUAAUACCGCAUACCAUCGGAUGUGCCCAGAUCGGAUUAGCUAGUGGGUGGGGUAAUGGCUCACCUAGGCUACGAUCCCUAGCUGGUCUGAGAGGAUGACCAGCCACACUGGAACUGAGAAACGGUCAAGACUCCUACGGGAGGCAGCAGUGGGGAAGAUUGCACAAUGGGCGAAAGCCUGAUGCAGCCAUGCCGCGUGUAUGAAGAAGGCCUUCGGGUUGUAAAGUACUUUCAGCGAGGAGGCGUUACUCGCAGAAGAAGCACCGGCUAACUCCGUGCCAGCAGCCGCGGUAAUAC